rnacentral:rRNA from 1 species
GACGAACGCUGGCGGCGUGCCUAAUACAUGCAAGUUGAGCGAUGAAGAUUGGUGCUUGCACCAAUUUGAAGAGCAGCGAACGGGUGAGUAACGCGUGGGGAAUCUGCCUUUUAGCGGGGGACAACAUUUGGAAACGAAUGCUAAUACCGCAUAACAACUUUAAACAUAAGUUUUAAGUUUGAAAGAUGCAAUUGCAUCACUCAAAGAUGAUCCCGCGUUGUAUUAGCUAGUUGGUGAGGUAAAGGCUCACCAAGGCGAUGAUACAUAGCCGACCUGAGAGGAAGACCGGGCAAAGUGGGACUGAGACACGAAGAAAACUCCUACGGGAGGCAGCAGUGGGGAAUAUAGAGCAAUGGGAGAAACACUGAUGCAGCGAAGACGCGUGAGUGAAGAAGUACUACGGUAUGUAAAGCUAUAUCAGCAGGGAAGAAAAUGACGAUACCUGAGUAAGAAGCCCCGGCUAACUACGUG